GCCUUUAAUUUUAGAAUAUUAGAGACCUUAAUUGUUGUCUUUAUAUCUAUACUUGAAUUACUUAUUGCAUUUUAAUGACUAUACUAAUAAGUUAAAAUACCUUGCAGAUCAUGCAGUUCUUUCUGACUUUGGACUACAUAGAUGAAUUUUCAGCCUUUAUUUUU